AUUGAACGCUGGCGGCAGGCCUAACACAUGCAAGUCGAGCGCAGCGGCAGACGGGUGAGUACUACCUAGGAAUCUGCCUGGUAGUGGCGGAUAACGUUCGGAAACGGACGCUAAUACCGCAUACUAUCAAAUCACCCUAGGGCGUAUUAGCUAGGUGGUGAGGUAAUGGCUCACCAAGGCUACGAUGCGUAACUGGUCUGAGAGGAUGAUCAGCCACACUGGAACUGAGACACGGUCCAGACUCCUACGGGAGGCAGCAGUGGGGAAUAUUGGACAAUGGGCGAAAGCCUGAUCGAGCCAUGCCGCGUGUGUGAAGAAGGUUUUCGGAUUGUAAAGCACUGUAAGUAGGGAGGCGUUACCGACAGAAUAAGCACCGGCUAACUCUGUGCCAGCAGCCGCGGUAAUAC
rnacentral:rRNA from 1 species